GGGCCAGUGGCGCAGUUGGGAGCGCGCUUGAAUGGCAUUCAAGAGGUCACGGGUUCGAAUCCCGUCUGGUCCACCA
rnacentral:tRNA from 1 species